rnacentral:rRNA from 1 species
UGAGGAAUAUUGGUCAAUGGGCGGGGAGCCUGAACCAGCCAAGUCGCGUGAGGGAAGACGGUCCUAUGGAUUGUAAACCUCUUUUGUCGGGGGAGCAAAGAGGCCACGUGUGGUCAAAAGCGAGAGUACCCGAAGAAAAAGCAUCGGCUAACUCCGUGCC